GGACAAUGGUAGGAGAGCGUUCUAAGGGCGUCGAAGCAUGAUCGCAAGGACAUGUGGAGCGCUUAGAAGUGAGAAUGCCGGUGUGAGUAGCGAAAGACGGGUGAGAAUCCCGUCCACCGAUUGACUAAGGUUUCCAGAGGAAGGCUCGUCCGCUCUGGGUUAGUCGGGUCCUAAGCUGAGGCCGACAGGCGUAGGCGAUGGAUAACAGGUUGAUAUUCCUGUACCACCUAGUAU
rnacentral:rRNA from 1 species